rnacentral:rRNA from 1 species
GACAGAGGAUGCAAGCGUUAUCCGGAAUGAUUGGGCGUAAAGCGUCUGUAGGUGGCUUUUCAAGUCCGCCGUCAAAUCCCAGGGCUCAACCCUGGACAGGCGGUGGAAACUACCAAGCUGGAGUACGGUAGGGGCAGGAGGGAAUUUCCGGUGGAGCGGUGAAAUGCGUAGAGAUCGGAAAGAACACCAAUGGCGAAAGCAAGCUCUCUGGGACGGUACUGACGCUGAGACGCGAAAGCGUGGGGAGCGAACAGG